rnacentral:lncRNA from 1 species
AUGAAACCCAAACCAAGUGGCCGGGAUCUCUGGCCGAGGCAGCAGCUAAAGUUACAGGUCUGCUGCAGAGCAGCAAUUCCACAGAGUUUUGAAGAGGAGGUGUCAGCUGUAAUUGUGAAGAGCCAUGCAAAUUCACCCUGGAGUUGCUCAGGAAAGGAAAAACAAACCCAAACAACAAACCCUGAAAUCUCUUAGCUUUUUAACCAGUUAACUUAGGUUCAGUUGUGGCUGUUGCAAGCACCUCACAGGUUCUGGGAAAUUAGGACUGGAAGGGACCUUAAAAAAAAGCAUAGUUGGGAAAUUUUCUUAAUGGUUAUCCAGAACUUACCUUGCUGUAAGUUCAGUAAACUUUUGUCCUGUUUGUCAGGGAACAGUGACAGUGGGGCUGCUCCCAAGGGAGGAUGAGCCAGGGGCCAAGGGUAACUCCAGGACAGGCAAUGCCCUCAGCAGCUGGGGUGAGCAGAGCCAGGGGCUUGUGACAGCAUCUGCCAGGAGCCCAGACACAGGAGAGGGCAUGAACCAGGGGCAGGGCCAUCCAGGGACAGCAGGAAUGAGACAGGACUGGAGACAAGGUGAUGACAUGAACCUGGGAUCCACCUGGGAAGGCCUGUUGGAGAACAGGGACAGAGGAGGUCUGGGGGGAAUGGAGAGUGCUUCCAGGGAAGUGGUCAGAAAAAUUAAAACCUGUUAGUGCUGACAGUGUCCUGACAGAAUUCACAGUGGAUGUGGUGAUCAGUUACGCUCUUCUGUGGAAGAUGAAUCUGCUGGUUUUAUCCAUCCCUCUGAAGGUGCACUCCUAUAUUCAUUGAAAGGAAAAAAGAUUGUGGAAAUGCACAUUAAAAAGGUGUAUAAAAUUAUCCUCUUGGUUCUUGUGUUUCAUGGUGUUGUGUCUCAAUACAAGCCUGUGGAAGGAUUUUGUUUCUAUGUGGUGGUUGUUGUUCUGGGCAGGAUUUUGUCUCUUGGCAGGAAUGAGAAAUAAACUUUUUUUCCCUUGAACCCCUUGACUCA